GACGAACGCUGGCGGCGUGCUUAACACAUGCAAGUCGAACGGAAAGGCCCUGCUUUUGUGGGGUGCUCGAGUGGCGAACGGGUGAGUAACACGUGAGUAACCUGCCCUUGACUUUGGGAUAACUUCAGGAAACUGGGGCUAAUACCGGAUAGGAGCUCCUGCUGCAUGGUGGGGGUUGGAAAGUUUCGGCGGUUGGGGAUGGACUCGCGGCUUAUCAGCUUGUUGGUGGGGUAGUGGCUUACCAAGGCUUUGACGGGUAGCCGGCCUGAGAGGGUGACCGGCCACAUUGGGACUGAGAUACGGCCCAGACUCCUACGGGAGGCGGCAGUGUGGAAUAUUGCACAAUGGGCGGAAGCCUGAUGCAGCAACGCCGCGUGCGGGAUGACGGCCUUCGGGUUGUAAACCGCUUUCGCCUGUGACGAAGCGUGAGUGACGGUAAUGGGUAAAGAAGCACCGGCUAACUACGUG
rnacentral:rRNA from 1 species